rnacentral:rRNA from 1 species
ACGGGAGGCAGCAGUGAGGAAUAUUGGUCAAUGGGCGGAAGCCUGAACCAGCCAAGUAGCGUGAAGGAUGACGGCCCUACGGGUUGUAAACUUCUUUUGCCGGGGGAUAAAAAACGGGACGCGUCCCGUCUUGCAGGUACCCGUGCGAAUAAGGACCGGCUAAUUCCGUGCCAGCAGCCGCGGUAAUACGGAAGGUCCGAGCGUUAUCCGGAUUUAUUGGGUUUAAAGGGAGCGUAGGCCGUGCUUUAAGCGUGUUGUGAAAUGUAGGCGCCCAACGUCUGCACUGCAGCGCGAACUGGAGCACUUGAGUACGCAGGAAGUAGGCGGAAUUCGUCGUGUAGCGGUGAAAUGCUUAGAUAUGACGAAGAACUCCGAUUGGGAAGCCAGCUUACUGUAGCGCCACUGACGCUGAUGCUCGAAAGCGUGGGUAUCGAACAGGAUUAGAUACCCUGGUA